rnacentral:rRNA from 1 species
UACGAAGGGGGCUAGCGUUGCUCGGAAUCACUGGGCUAAAGGGUGCGUAGGCGGGUCUUUAAGUCAGGGGUGAAAUCCUGGAGCUCAACUCCAGAACUGCCUUUGAUACUGAAGAUCUUGAGUUCGGGAGAGGUGAGUGGAACUGCGAGUGUAGAGGUGAAAUUCGUAGAUAUUCGCAAGAACACCAGUGGCGAAGGCGGCUCACUGGCCCGAUACUGACGCUGAGGCACGAAAGCGUGGGGAGCAAACAGGG